ensembl:miRNA
AGAGAUGGUAGACUAUGGAACGUAGGCGUUAUGACUUUUGACCUAUGUAACAUGGUCCACUAACUCU